rnacentral:rRNA from 1 species
AGGACGAACGCUGGCGGCGUGCUUAACACAUGCAAGUCGAACGGGAGUAUUGAAGAAGCUUGCUUAGAGAUACUUUAGUGGCGGACGGGUGAGUAACGCGUGAGGAGCUGUCCUAUGCAGGGGGACAACAGCUGGAAACGGCUGCUAAUACCCCAUAAGCCGAGAGGUAAAAGGAUCAAUCCGGCAGAGGAGGUACUCGCGUCCUAUCAGCUAGUAGGUGAGGUAACGGCUCACCUAGGCGAAGACGGGUAGCCGGCCUGAGAGGGCGAACGGCCACACUGGAACUGAGAUACGGUCCAGACUCCUACGGGAGGCAGCAGUGGGGAAUAUUGGGCAAUGGGGGGAAACCCUGACCCAGCGACGCCGCGUGGGUGAAGAAAUCCUUCGGGAUGUAAAGCCCUGUUGUAUGGGAAGAGCGGAAGACGGUACCAUACGAGGAAGCCCCGGCAAACUACGUGCCAGCCGCAGC